UGGAGAGGACAACACAUCUCGACAAUUACAUAUUUGCAAAACUUGAAGAGAUGUGAGAUUUUGCUGCAUAUUCCCUGGAAUCGACUCCAAUUGCUGGCAGUCCCAAAUGGAAAGGGUCUCAAGUGUCGAGGGAAAGUAACCUCUUGGAAUGGACUUGAGAGAUGGACAUCCCCAUACAUGUAGAUAUUCAAGAUGACAAGUGUUGUUGUUGUCAAUUCCCUCAGGUAGAGACUCUAGCUUCUCACAAUUUAUAAUUAUCAGCUUCUUAAGGGUGGCGGGUAGCUCACCUUUCGGAAAGCCAAUAAGAGAUGGACAAUCUUUAAUUUUCAGGUACUCAAGGGCACAACUAUUUCCAUAUAUUGGGAGUACCUGGUUGAACUUGUUGUAGUUUUAAAAUGUCAUCUAUUUCCAUAUAGGGGAUGUGAGCAAUCUUAGGCUAAUAUUUUCCUUUGUCAUUGAGGCACCUCUCUUUUAGAAUAUGACAUCUCCCCAUUACAACUCUUGCAAGUGUUGGUGGUGGGUCAAUGUGGGUAGCUCACCUUCUAGAAAGCCAAUAAGAGACAUCUUUGAACCCCUAUUAAGACCACCUGCCCAUACCAAAUAAAAAGGGGGAAAAUGAGUAGAAAAAACUCAUAUCAUAUCAAAAACAGAACAAAUUAAAUAAUAAUAAUAAUAAUAAUAAUAAUAAUAAAAUCAUACUUUUUUGUGUCUUAAGGAUGUGAUUCACCAUAAAAUAUCAUGGAAACAUUGAUGAAACUUUAUAUAAUGCAUUACUCCAAAAUCAACGAAGAAUAGUGCAAAAGGUGAUUGAAUUUCUUUCACUUCACAAGAAUGGAACCUUUUAAGCCGUGCUACACACUAUAUAAUGGGGAAAUUAGUUUAUAAUUAUUAUAAAAAAAUAAAAAAUAAAAAUUUCAAAGUUAGCAAAGGCGUAGAAGCAAAAUUUGUCAUAUAAGGAGGGAAACAUGAUCUCUGCUCAUUCCCCUAUUAAGAGAAAAUAUGAAUCUUUCAAUGGAUGAAUAUGUCCUUUCUCUAUUCUUCUUGCAAUAAGGGUUGAAGCUUAGGACUCAUUCAGCCUUACACCAUCGCAAUUCUUUUAUGUGGAAAAGGACUGCAAUAGGAUAUUCUCCAUUGACCAAAUGUGAAGCAAAAAAGAAGAUAAGAAACAGAAGACAAAGUACAAUUAGGAGACAAGAAUUUACCAACUCAUUUACAAAAAUACUUAGAAACUCCCCUAUUAUACCAGCUCUCUGUAACUUCAUCAAUGCAUUUGUGAAAUGCUAAUCUGGAAAUAAAUUAUAUAACAUAAGGAGUGGAAAAUUAUAAAAUCAGACACCAACACAUAAAUAUGUGUUUGUGUAUACCAUCUUAAUGGAAAGAAAAACUAUUUACUUGUGGCCCCCUAUGCUUGCCAAGAUUUAGCUUAUUUAAUAUAGUCAGAAUCUGGUGUAUGAACCUCAUCCACAUCUUCAACACCUGAAGAAUAACCCUAAUGCAACAAUAAGUACAGAUUGCAUAAGUACGGAAUGCAAAGAGAAGUGAAAAUCAAGGGUAUAUGGAUUCUUUAUAGAUUAAUAUUCAAGGAAUAAAUUCUGAUUAUAUAUGUAUAUAUAUAAAUUGAAGCACUAAAUGAAAAGCACUAAUAACAUAACUAUUUGUCAUGUAUAUCGACAAAGAACAUGCAGGUGCAGCCAAACACAUGACAAAGAAUGGAAAAGAAGUAGGAAGAAUCUGAAAAAGCUUUAGAGUCAAAGCAAUGCUGGAGAUGCUACAUGGGCAGGCCUAAUUGAUUCUACCUCCACUAAAAUUCUUCUCGUUGUUAUCAAGUCCAAAAGAAUACACGUCCUGCUAUUCAAUAACUUUUGCCUUGCAUACUCCUUAAAUUCUAUAGAUUAAGAGGAUCCAAGGGUUGUCAUUUCAGUUUCUUUAACUCUUCCCUCUUUUCAAACUCCUCAUAGCAUGGAAAGGAUCCACUCUUCCCUCUCAAGGUUAGGCAAUUUCCUUCCCUUACAGAAAUUAUUUCACCCCUUAUCAAAUCCGUCUUCAGUAAAUUCAUCAGAUUAUUUUUUUAAUUUUACAAUCUUAACAUUCCUACCAUCACAAAUAUUCUUUACAAUUCACCAAUUUCUUGACAUGAUUCUCAGAGGCAUUUCUAGAGGGUCAUGAGGUUCAAUAUAAAGAGAAAAAAAUAAAAAAUAAAAGAAAAGGUGGGAAGUGGAGGGCAUGAGGUUCAAUCUCAUUUCCCUAUGUUGAUUGAACCAAUAAUUGCCCUCUAUUCAACCCUAAACUGAUUAUGAAAGAGGGCCUUUUAUCCCUAUUAGAUUGGGCAGAUUAAUGCUACAUGAAGUGAGCCUCCAAAUACAAAUGAGACUCCAAAUACAAACUGAUUAUGGAAGAGGGCCUAAGUAAUUAUUUUACAAAGACUAACUAGAGAUAUUAGUGGACUCUCUUCUUCAUCAGUUUGUAACAUGAAUCAUCAGGGUCAAGUCUUUUACUAAUCCACAACCUUCACCUUCUGGUAUCACAUGGGCAGAGCAUGCCCAUUGUAGCAAACAGUAUGAUAAAAAAAAAAAAAUUAUGUAGCACUAAGUCAAAAGAAUUCUGGUGCAGAAGCCUAAGCAACCAUAUAGAAAUAUGCAAAUGUAAAAGCUAGAAAGACAGUAAUAAAAUAUCACCUUACCUGGCUAGGUUACAAUCAUCAUGUGCCCCAAUUAGGGGAUUUUACCUUCAACAACUUACUUACAAAGACCUUAAUUUGAAAGAGCACAUUUUAAAUCAAUACAAGUGAGAAGAGAGAGAAUAAGAAAGAGAACAACCUGGAUAUAUGCCCUUUCUCUGCAUCCUGAACUGCUUGACAUACCAGUUGCCAGUAGUAAGGGUCUAGGCCAACAGCAUUUACAAUGUCAUGUAAUUAGUAAAAAAAAAUUAAGUGGAAAAGCAGAAAAAAGGGGAAAAAAAUCUCAUCAACAAAGAAGUUAUACCUCUCCCCCGUUUUGCAAUACAUAUUUCCAAGCUGAUGGCAGAAUCCCAGAAAACCUUGGUGUUUAGUAAGGGAGAAUUCCUGUGUGAAUAAAGUACAAAACAAAAUCAGAUAGAAGGGCUUUAUUAAGAUACUAAGAUGCAAAUUUAGAUUGGAAUGAAAUAGAACUAAAACAAAAUCAGAAAUACCUUCUAUUAAUUAAUGGUAAUUGAAAUAGAAUACUGGCUUUAAGCAAAAUGAAGCACCAGAUAUAAGGCCUCUUGUUGUGGGUUAGGUUCUGCAAGUUUGCCAAGCUGCCCAUCCCUUGGUAGGAAGUGAAGUUGGUGCCACAUUUGAUAGGGCCUUAAAAUUUCUUUUGGACCUGAUUAGCAAAAAAUUGUACAGAUGAAACUGGAAUCACAUGUAAACCCCAAGAUUAAAAAUGAAUGGUGCAUUUAUUACAGCUCCUUUCAUGUGUAGGGCAUUUCCCCUUGCAGAUAUGAAUAAGGUGCAUCAAUGGCAGGAAAUUUCCCUUUUAUCUACAUCAAUCCCUUUUCCUGCCAUCCUAUAUGUACAAGACAUCAUUAUUGGAAAUUGAAAGCAGUAUUUUGAGUUGAAAGUGCCAAAUAUCCAGUUAUUAAACUAUGGUAGGAAGGCCUUGCUUAAGAAAAUAAGGAACAAGCUAAGAACACAAUCAAGAGAGGUGAGUUUUUGAGCACAAAACUGUUUAGCUUAUUGUAGGAAAUGAAGUUGGUGCCAAAUUUGAUAGGGGCCUUCAAACUACUUUUGGACCUGAUUAGCAAAAAAAAUUGACAGUGGAGACUGGAAUUGCAUGUGUAAACCCUGAAAUGAAAAAAGAAUGGUGCAUUUAGUACAACUCUUUCAUGUUUAGGAUAUUUCCCCUUGCAAAUAAGCUGCACCAAUGGGCAGAAAUUUUGCUUUCAUCUACAUCAAUGUGCAACACAAAUUCCAUCAUUAUCAGAAAAUGUAAGCGAUAUUUUUAGUUGAAAAUGGUGAAAAUUGUGUUCUAUCAAAACUUACAAUUCAAUGCAUUAAUAAGUACCUCUGUUUUGGAAGAGGGUAGGGACCUUCCUUUGGAAAAAUAAGGAAAAAGCUAAGGGCACAUUCAUGAGAGUCGAGGUUUUGAGCACAAAACUCCACAACUUAUUGUCGACCACGGCAGCCCCUGAUUACGGAACAAAAGGGAGACUCAAAUAUUACAGAGAAAGCAGCAAUAAGUAAGUAGAACCUUUGAUGGAAGAUUACAAAGAUUUGGGAGUACCUGAUUGAAGCUGUUAUUGUUGUACAAUCUUAUCUAUUUCCACAUAGGGGAUGUGAGCAAUCUUGGGCCAAUCAUUUCCUUUGCCCUUGAGGCACCUCUUUUUUAGAAAUGGACACUUCCAGAUUACAAGUCUUGCAAGUGUUGGUGGUAGCCCUUCCUUUGGUACAAAAGACCGGAGCUUAGGGCAACGGUGGAAUUCAAGCCUUUUAAGAGACAUAAGGCUUCGGAGACCCAUGGAGGUUACGGAUUUCAAGUUGGGGAGAUUUAUCAACCCGAGAUGGGUGAGAGAUGUAGGAAGAAGUAGGUGAGAGCCGGAAAAAGAAAGCAGAUCUGGGAAUGGGCCACGAAUCACGAGCUCAUCAAGUGAGGUGAGUGUGCGGAGGCCCCACCCAGAUAGAGGCCACCUCAUAUUCUCACAAUCUGAAAUAUAAAGUUGUUUAAGGUUGGGGUUCAAAAACGCUUCUGGAGAGGACACCACAUCUGGACAAUUACAUAUGUUUAGAAGUCGAAGAGAUGUGAGAUUUUGCAGCAGAUUCCCUGGAAUCGACUCCAAUUGCUCGCAGUCCCAAAUGGAAAGAAUCUCAAGUGUGGAGGGAAAGUAGCCUCUCGGAAUGGACUUGAGAGAUGGACAUCGGCAUACAUGUAGCUUUUCAAGACGACAAGUGUUGUUGUUGUCAAUUCCCUCAGGUAGAGACUCUAGUUUCUCACAAUUUUCAAUUAGCAGGUUCUUAAGGGUGACAG
rnacentral:lncRNA from 1 species